rnacentral:rRNA from 1 species
AUUGAACGCUGGCGGCAGGCCUAACACACGCAAGUCGAGCGGGGUUUUCGGACCUAGCGGCGGACGGGUGAGUAAUGCGUAGGAAGCUACCCGAUAGAGGGGGAUACCAGUUGGAAACGACUGUUAAUACCGCAUAAUGUCUACGGACCAAAGUGUGGGACCUUCGGGCCACAUGCUAUCGGAUGCGCCUACGUGGGAUUAGCUAGUUGGUGGGGUAAUGGCUCACCAAGGCGACGAUCCCUAGCUGGUUUGAGAGGAUGAUCAGCCACACUGGUACUGAGACACGGUCCAGGCUCCUACGGGAGGCAGCAGUGGGGAAUAUUGGACAAUGGGCGCAAGCCUGAUCCAGCCAUGCCGCGUGUGUGAAGAAGGCCUUCGGGUUGUAAAGCACUUUCAGUAGGGAGGAAGGGUGUUGUGUUAAUAGCACAGCAUUUUGACGUUACCUACAGAAGAAGCACCGGCUAACUCUGUGCCAGCCGCCGCAGUAAUAC